rnacentral:rRNA from 1 species
UGCCAGCAGCCGCGGUAAUACGGAGGAUGCAAGCGUUAUCCAGAUUUAUUGGGUUUAAAGGGUGCGUAGGCGGAAUAUUAAGUCAGUGGUGAAAUCCUGCAGCUUAACUGUAGAACUGCCAUUGAAACUGUUUUUCUUGAGUAUAGAUGAAGUGGGCGGAAUGUAUCAUGUAGCGGUGAAAUGCAUAGAUAUAAUACAGAACACCGAUUGCGAAGGCAGCUCACUAAACUAUUACUGACGCUGAGGGACGAAAGCGUGGGGAGCAAACAGGAUUAGAUA